GGCCGGCUAAGUCCUCCCGCCCUCCUCGUGGUGCCGGCUGGAGUAUGCAUCUAGCACAAGGAUAGUUAAGAAGCAUAACAUUAUGUAUAUACAGACAGGGAAUGG
rnacentral:ribozyme from 1 species